AGAGUUUGAUCCUGGCUCAGGAUGAACGCUGGCGGCGUGCUUAACACAUGCAAGUCGAACGGACUUUACAUGAAGCCUAGCGAUUGUAAAGUUAGUGGCGGACGGGUGAGUAACGCGUGAAUAACCUGCCCUGUACCGGGGGACAACAGUUGGAAACGGCUGCUAAUACCGCAUAAGCGCACGGUUCCGCAUGGAACAGUGUGAAAAACUCCGGUGGUACAGGAUGGAUUCGCGUCUGAUUAGCCAGUUGGUGGGGUAACGGCCUACCAAAGCAACGAUCAGUAGCCGGCCUGAGAGGGUGAACGGCCACAUUGGGGACUGAGACACGGCCCAAACUCCUACGGGAGCA
rnacentral:rRNA from 1 species